AUCCUUCUGUCAUUUAUAAGUGUGAUGACUGGACAUUCACACAUGUGUGAGAUGCACCUCCCUCAACCCUGUUAUGACAUUGGUACUUUACCCAUGAAA
ensembl:snoRNA